CAAAUAAUUAUAAUUAGGAUAAUUUAAAUUUUAGAUGAAUUUGGCAAUUAAACUAAAAUUUGUAAUUAAUUGUGACCGUGAGCCAAAGUUUAGCCAGGCCCACUCCAAUUCGUACAUACAAUUACAGGCUAUAGGAUACAGCCAAGAAGAAUACAAACCCAGUACGCACAAAAUACGCAUACAAACCGUACUCUUCUUCCUCCCAAACCCAGCGAAAGCGAUGAUGAACCACCGAGCCCACAAAGCAAAUCCAAUAGCCCUCCCUAUCAUUUCAACUCUCCAACCUGCCUAUAUAAACCCCUCUUCCCCUUCCUAUUUUUGGAUAGUCACAACCACAUACUGUUUCAAAUAGCUACUUCUCAGUCACUGCAGUCAUGGGAUCACUUACUCAGCUUGCGAAUCUAGUUCAUGAAUCUACUGCAUUGAAACGCAAAUCUGAUGAGGCUAAGAAGGAAUUGUUGGAGAUUAGUAAAACUCUUGGUACAUUUGAUCACCAUAUCGUCUAUAACCGUGACGAUAUGGUCUAUUUGGUCAAAAUUUCAACGAACACUGAUUUGGUCAAAUCUGUGUUCAUCUUCACCGAUGAUGAAGACGUGAAGAAUAUGGCCAUCAACAAUGGCUUUGAAGUUCAAGAUUCCUCCACUUCCUCCUUCAACUGUAGUAUUUUAUGAAAUCUUUAGAACUUGAGGAAAAAAAACAUAGUUUGCAUAGUCUUAUGAUAGAUUGAAAGUUGAUAGAUUCGAAGUUGUUGCAAUAUAUUCUGGUUUUAAAGUUUUAAAUGAAAAUAUCGUUGUUUUGAAUCAAUAUUUGUGUCUUUAAAUGUGAAACUUAUUGGAAAUCUCCAGUAUUACCUACAACACUGUUGAUGUUUGUGGAAUGAUUACUGAUUUUUAGUUUUCACUUGUAACCCCUUUGCCUUUCUAUAGUGCGCAAACCAUUACUAUAGAGACGCACAUAACCAAUCUUAUGAAAAUAUUACGAGAGAGGCAUGAUAGAUAGGUUUCUUCGGUUUUGCUGCAUUAGUUCCAUUAUGGAGUACCACUGCUCGGUACUACUACAUACUAGGUACUAAUUGCUAUUUUAGCUCUCAUUUUAGUUCAAUUAUUGAAAACUAUUACUUGCUUUUAUAUUACCAUUUCCAAUUAGAGUAGAAGUUUGAACAUUUUAGGUUCCAGUUGAUGAUGUUCAUCCAGAAGGAUGAGAUGAUUGACAUCAUUAGUGUAACCAUAGGUAAAGAUUAUGAAGUUGAGUAACUCGUUGAGGUGUAACAUGUCUUCCUCGCAAAACCCAUAGGUGUCUAAGUAAGUGUUCUUGUAUCAAUGCCUGGCAGCCUGCUAGAGUUUCAUUCGCAGUGGCUUUUGCUUGUCAAAGGUAGUUUGAGUCAAAUUUUGAAGAUAAUAGUACUCUACAAUUAUUUGCUUUGUGAAUGAGUUUUUUUUUGGUUGAUUCUUAAUGUUUGUGUCUCAUUUAUGUUUCCAGUGGAAACAUUUUGGAAAUGGAUUUUGAGCCAUUUACUACGGUAACUCCUCCAGUGACUCCAUUGGUAAUGGUUUGGAGUUUCUUACUCACCACAUUGCUUCGACAAUGUUCCAUGAACAGGGAGAUUAUUAAGUGCCUCGUUGACUUUCUCAGACACCAUAACUACAAAGGAAAGGUAGUAAUGUUAACUAAUAAAGGGGUGCAAGUAAAAAGAAUCAUUUGAAUCUACAAUGUGGUACAUGGCAAAAGAUACUAAUCUCAAGAUGUAUAAAGCAUGACAGAGUAAUCAAAUAGUAACUUAUAGUACAUCAGAGAGAAGUGAUUACUAAUAUCUUCAGGUUGCUAAGAUGUUAGAAAAGGUUAAAACCCCUGACCUGCUACUCUAGGUUCUCGUUUUCCCUUAUUCUUGUAUCUUUUGAUUUAUUGUAGUCUUUGUGGAGUGUAGCCUCCGUUCAGCCGAGGGACUUUCUGGAGACACAGGUGAUCUAUUUUAGCUGAGGUGAGUGAUCAUUGUUUAGCGAUUUACAAGCUUGCUAUGUCUCUCUUGAUUCCUGGGCAGAAACAACUUAAAUAAAUAAGUGUGUUGGCUUGAUAUGUCUUUAGAUUUCUGGUAUGUUUUUUCAAAAUAUAGAUAAAAGAAGUUCUCUCUGUUUUCAUUGUAAGCCCUAUCAGGCAUUUGUUGGACCCUUCAUUUCAAUGCUGAAGAAUGAAAGUGUUGUCACUUUGAACAUCUCCAUCCUCGCGUUUUCUGUCACGUUGCAGAUGUGAAGCUACAAUUUAGUAUCCUUUUCAUUUGGUUAGCGUCAAUUUUGUUGAAAAUUUAGUACAAAUUGGUUAUCUAUUUGUGUAUAUUUCUCUGCUUAGUGCUGAUUGUAGAAAAUUUUAAAAUUUAUUUAGUUACAUGGCAUUUGGUUUUCAUAUGUGUUUGGUUAUAGGAGGAUGCAGGAUUGAUGAGGUUUAUUGACCAGUCUCAUAUUCCCGACAAUCAGGUAUUAUGUGCUUCCAUUGUUUUCUGAUUUAGAUGUGUUAUUCUAGCUGCUUAAUUUAGUUCUUUUAGGUAAAUUUAGUUAAUACAGACAUUGUUUGGAUGACUUUACUUGGUUUUUAGCAUAUUCUGUAAGACACUCACUGCUUCAGAUACCAACACUUAUGGUGGUUUUUCUGCCCCUCGCCCACAGCGAAAGAUUGCUAUUCUCCCUUUGUAAAGCUUCCUUUAAGAUAUCUUCUAUUGUUACUACAUAGUAGAUGAGAGCAUUUAGAUGUAGUCCUCACUGUUCUCGCCGUCUUCUAAUUUUCUGUUGGUAAGCUUAUCCUAACUGAUCAUAGUCUACCUAAGAAAAACGAUUCAACUUAGACAAAUUCGGAGUACAUCACCUUGUUCAUGUUCCCUAUAGAGCUUACAUCAUAUGAUUUGUCAAACUAUCCUAUUACUAUCUUUGCACUAGAAAGUUUUUUGUACUUAAUAUCAUUUACAAAUCGCUUGUGAUUUAUGAGAAAUGAAUGCAUAUGUAUAAGCAGUCUUGUUAUGAGUGUGCUUAUUUGGGAUUGUAGAUUCUUUUAUGUGCAACUUUUCUGUUGUGUUGCUCUAGUCUCUCUAAUAUAUGUCUUUUUAAUGUAUUUAUCAAAAAAAAUAUAUAUAUGUCUAAGUAAGUUGGCUUGUAUCAAUGCCUGGCAGCUUGCUAGAAUUUCAUUCACAGUGGCUUGUGCUUGUCAAAGGUAGUUUGAGUCAUGAAUUUGAAGAUAAUAGUACUCUACAACUUUUUGCUCUGUGAAUGAUUUUUUUUUGGUUGAUUCUUAAUGUUUGUGUCUCAUUUACUACUGUAACUCCUCUAAUGUCUCUUUUUGACUCUAUUGGUAAUGGUUUGGAGUUUCUUACUUGCCACAUUGCUUCGACAAGGUUCUAUGACAAGAAUAUUACCAAGUGCCUCGUUGACUUUCUCAGACACCAUAACUACAAAGGAAAGGUAGUAAGGUUAAGUAAUGAAAAAGUAGGCUAUUGCUUAUGGUUAAGCUGUAUGAUUAUUAUGUGUGGUUCUAACUAUGUCAAGUUGAACGGUGAAAGAAGGCAUCCAAAACAUGAAAAGUUUCCAACUUGUCUUGAAAAAGGCAGAGGAAUAUCUGUGGACCCUGAAUCCAGAAAAGCCGUACUCCGUUUUGAAUCCCAGGUUGAAAAGAUUGGCUUGGAAAGAGUGUGGGGAAGCACUGCUGAAUGCCUGCAAGAAACCAUCAGUCAUCUGUUGUACCUCAUUGAGGCUCCUAAUGCAUCUUCUUUGGAGGACUUCCUCGGAAAAAUCCCAUUGGUUUUCAUGUUUGGACAUGAUUGCUUCCAGACCACUCAAAGAGUACUUCUAAAGGCUUAAAUGUUUCAGCAUUCACUUCGUUGGACAGAACACAAGUUUUAAACAAUUUUUUGUUGCUCUUACUGUUUACAUUCGGGAGGGUGUUUUCGAUGACAAUUUUGACAAUAGUGCUUUUUGUUGUCUUGAGGACUAGUUGAAAAAUUCCUAAUUCAAAGUUUUUGUUGCUGUGGUUCUAGUUGACAACCAGCUUCAAUAUGAGCAAUGCUCUGCUUGAGGUAUGUGUGUGCUAUGUACUGCCUCUUAGGCCUUUCUUAUUUGACGUGCUAUUUAUCGAAACAACAAGAAUUAAACCAGCUGGUUCAAACUAGCUAGUGUAAGAAACACUAGCUAGAAACUCCUCAUAACGUUACCUUUCUAAAAAAGAAAACUCCUCAUAUUCACACCAAAGCCUUCAGGAUCCGAUCAUCUUCAUUUGCUUCAUUAUAUUCUUUUUCGUCAACCUUUGUGCUUUAAAUAGACUUAUACAAUGUGUUUUACUCCUUCGAUAAAUGAAUUUGUUCUCUAGUUUUCUGGAACUUUUGUUUCAUGGAGGAAAAAAAGAGGGGUUCAAGUAAAAAGAAUUAUUUGAAUCUACAAUGUGGUAUAUGUCAACAGAUACUAAUAGGUUCUCUCGGUUCUCGUUUUCCCUUAUUCUUGUAUCUUUUUGAUUAAUUGUAGUCUUUGUGGAGUGUAGCCUACGAGGGACUUUCUGGAGGACACAGGUGAUAGCCUUUUUUAGCUGAGGGAAGAUUCCAAUCGGUAAAUCAACUGAUUUGUUUCGAGAUUUGUAUUCUCCAGCGUCAUUAUCGGAGCGUCUUGAAGUUUGGAUUUGAUGUCGUCAACUUUGUCGGCGAUGUCUGAAGAAAAGCUUGGAGAAAGUUUUCUAUUUAUAUAAUUUUCCUACCCUUUAAUUUCUGUCUAUAAAACAAAAUAAGACAGAAAUAAGAAUGAUACUUACACUUGGCAAAGAAUAAUUUCAAUUGGUUCAGAUGCUUGAUUUUUGUUCCCAACACCCCUCCUCAAGAUGGAGGGGAGAGAAACAACACCCAUCUUGGACAAAAUCGAAAAAUGAGGACCACCAAGAGCUUUUGUGAACAAAUCAGCAAGCUGUGAAGAAGAAGGAACAAAUGAAAGAGAGAUCAAGCCGGCAAGAAAUUGUUGCCUCACGAAAUGACAAUCAAGCUCUACUUGCUUGGUUCAUUCAUGGAAUACGGGAUUGCGAGCAAUGUGGAUGGCAACUUGACUGUACGAAUGAACUGGAAUGGAUAAAGAUGGAGAUACAGAGAGAUCUUGAAGAAGUCGAGUCAACCAGGAUCCAAAUGACCAUGACAAGGGUGCUGCAUAUAUUGACUUAGAGUGAGGACAGCAAAUAAGAGAUCUGGUCUGGUGUGAGUGAGGUAGUUUAGUUUGCCCACAAGUCGCCGGUAAGCGGUUGGAUCAGCAAGAAGGGGACCAGAAGAAGUGGUCAAUUUGGUUGAAGGAUCUAAGGGAGAAGAUACAGUAGGCAUAGACUCUAAGUCAAAUUCUUGUAAUAACUCCAAAGAAAAUUUGCGUUGUCGGCGAUGUCAUCAGUGAGUAUGGAGCUCUAUCAUGCAUUUGUUCGACCCUUGAUUUCAAUGCCGAAGAAAGAAGUGUUGUCACCUUGAACAUCUCCAUCCUCGCGUUUUCUGUCAAGUUGCAGAUAGGAAGCUACAAUAUAGUAUACUUUCAUUAGGAGGAUGCAAGAUUGAUGAGGUUUAGUCUCAUUAGUUCCCGACAAUCAGCGCGAAGUAAUGAAAAAAACUUGACUGGUUCUUGUCCAAGAAAUGGAGAUAUAAACUGCUUAGUGAGGCAAUGUUGAUGUUCGUGGAAUGAUUUCUGGUUUUCAGUUUCUACAGGUAACCCCUUUGCCAAACCAUUAUAAUAGAGACGCACAUAACCAGUGUUAUGAGAAUAUUACGAGAGAGGAAUGAUAGAUAAGUAUAUUGUAAGUUUAUUGGGUGUUGCUGCAUUAGUUCUAUUUUGGAGUUCCACUGCUUGGUACUGCUACUUACUAGCUACUAAUUGCUAUUUGAUGAAGUUAGCUUAUUCUACAAGACUCUCACCUUAUACUGAAAGGUAAUAAUACAAAAAAUGUAGUAAUAGUUUCUUACUCACCACAUUGCUUUGACAAAUGGUUAAGCUGUCUGAUUAUUCUGUGUUCUUCUAACUACGUCAAUUUGAACGGUGAAAGAAGCAUCCAAGACUUGAAAAGUUUCCAACUUGUUCUGAAAAAAGCAGAGGAAUAUAUGUGCACCCUGAAUCCAGAAGCUCUGUGCUCCAAUUUUGAAUCCAUGGUUUAAAAGACUGGCUUGGAAAGAGUUUCGGGAAACACUGCUGAAUGCCUGCAAUAAACCAUCAGUCAUCUGCUUCCUAAUGCCAUCUUCUUCGGAGAAUCCAUUGGUUUUGCUAGUUUGGACAUGCUCGCCUCCAGACCACCCGAAGAGCACAAUUUUUAAACAAUUUAUUAUUGCUCUUACUGUUUAUUUUCGUCUGGGUGUUUCCUUUGAAAAUUUAGUGCUUUCGGUUGUCUUGAGGAUUCUUGUUCAGUACAUUCCUAAUUCAAUAGUUUUGUUGUUGUGAUUCUAGUUGACAAUCAGCUUCAAUAGAAGCAACACUUGGCUUCUCGACUAUUGCUUCUUUUUUUCGGUCUGUUGGUAUGUUCUCGCCUUUUUAAAGGGAGGAAGCAGUUGGUUUGAUAUGUAUUCUUGCACAUCGAUGUUUUGAUUUUUCGAACUAUAUGUAAAUAUGCUCGAUAGAUUUGGAUAACUUUUCAGGAAAA